CAUUUAUAAUUUUUAUAAAAUAUUAUAAAUAUUCUAAUAUCGUUAAAAAAUUUUAAAUUCAUUUAAAUUUGAUAAAUCCUUUGAUAGAUUAUCUGUAGUUUUAGAAAAUUGUACCAGUAAUGGUGGUAGCUACCUCUGCUUUGAACCCUUUUUUUUCAGGAAAAGGGUAUGGAUACUGUAAAUAGUUCACUAAUAGUAUCAAAUACAAUUAUUCUAAUAUAAUAAAUAUAAUUUAUAUUAUUAGUAAGUAUUUUUAAUUUCAAUGAUUCUUUCACGUAUUCUCUAUUUUCUCUGAAAUUAAUUAAAAUUUUAUAAUUCUAUUACAAUAAAAACAAUAGAAUAAAAAUUAGAAAAUAUAGUAUACAAAAUAUAAAUAAUGAAAAAGAUAAAUAAUAUGCAAAAAUGUUCAAUAUAUAAAAGAUAAAAAAUAAUUUAAUAAUAAAUCAUUUGGAAUUACUACAAUAAUAAUAUUUCCUUACAAAUAAUGUUAAGAAAAUAGAAAUGAAGAAAUAAAACUGUCUGGUCUUGGAAAUACUGAUAAUAUAAGGAACCGCAUCGUUGGAUCACGUAUCACGUUUUGCGAGCACUCCUUUUAUAUCCUAGUGGAAAUAAAGUGUCACUCUUUGUGGAAGAUCUCAGCUUUUCCGAGUUUGUUUUCGUGCCAUUUUUCUACUCUUCUUACAGUUAUUUCAUCCGGAAAACAAUAUCAUGAUUCUUUCAAAUGGUAAAGGUAUGUCUAAUGAAUUGAUGAUUUUUGCUAUUGUGAAAUAAAAAUAAUCUUGGUGAUAAAUAAUAAUUUUCAACGGAUAAAUAAUCGAUAUUUACGUGAAAGAAACACAAGCUUACAAUUAAAAAUUAUCAAGCAAAUUCAUAUAAACUUGACAUUGUUGGCUCUAUCUACUUUUGUUGGCAUUCGUUUCAUUUAUAUAUAUAUAUAUAUAUGUCUUUCGGAUAUUCUCACUGAAUUUAUCUCUGUGACCCAGUUCGUCUUUAGUCUUAAUCCAGAAUAUUUUGCCAAUACCAUUGAUCCUACCAUAUUUAUGAGAUUUUUCUUCUUAUCAGAAUAAUAUUAUAUUAACAUACUUUAACAUAUUCCAAAUUUUAAAUUUAUGAAAGCAUAAUAAUUAAUAUUGAUGCAUUUUAAAGAAUACAUAUUCAAAUACCAUUUACAAUUGAAUGUUAUAGAAACAUAUAUUAAGAAAUAC